AGGUGAUGAGUCCAUGUGAUGAGUCCAUGUGAACAGUGUAAGAGGUGAUGAGUCCAGGUGAACAGUAAGAGGUGAUGAGUCCAGGUGAACAGUAAGAGGUGAUGAGUCCAGGUGAACAGUGUAAGAGGUGAUGAGUCCAGGUGAACAGUGUAAGAGGUGAUGAGUCCAUGUGAACAGUAAGAGGUGAUGAGUCCAUGUGAACAGUGUAACACUUGUUGGUAGCGUGUUCAGCCCAGUAAUCCAUCUUCAUGAGGCGCAGGUACUUCGUACAGAUAGAAACUCGAAAAGUUCCGUUACAGUCCUUUAGAAACAUGUCAAACGAUGUAUGGAAUCAAUCU
ensembl:lncRNA